UACGUAGGGGUCGAGCGUUGUCCGGACUUACUGGGCGUAAAGCGUGGGUAGGUGGCCGAUGAUGUGCCGUGUGAAAGCGCCGCGCUCUCGCGGCGAGGUCGCGGUAGACACAUCGGCUCGAGGCACGGAGAGGGCGUAGAAUUCCCGGUGUAGUGGUGAAAUGCGUAGAUAUCGGGAGGAAUACCAGUGGCGCAAGCGGCGCCCUGGCCGUGACCUGACACUGAGCCACGACGGCGUGGGAGCAAACGGG
rnacentral:rRNA from 1 species